rnacentral:rRNA from 1 species
GUGUCAGCCGCCGCGGUAAUACGAAGGGGGCUAGCGUUGUUCGGAAUCACUGGGCGUAAAGCGUACGUAGGCGGACCGUUAAGUCGGAGGUGAAAGCCUGGAGCUCAACUCCAGAACUGCCUUCGAUACUGGCGGUCUCGAGUCCGGGAGAGGUGAGUGGAACUGCCAGUGUAGAGGUGAAAUUCGUAGAUAUUGGCAAGAACACCAGUGGCGAAGGCGGCUCACUGGCCCGGUACUGACGCUGAGGUACGAAAGCGUGGGGAGCAAACAGGAUUAGAUACCCUGGUAGUCCACGCCGUAAACGAUGGAAGCCAGCCGUCGGGCAGCAUGCUGUUCGGUGGCGCAGCUAACGCUUUGAGCUUCCCGCCUGGGGAGUACGGUCGCAAGAUUAAAACUCAAAUAAAUUGACGG